UACAGAGGGGGCAAGCGUUGUUCGGAAUUACUGGGCGUAAAGGGCGCGUAGGCGGCCUUCUAAGUCGAACGUGAAAUCCCCGGGCUCAACCCGGGAACUGCGUCCGAUACUGGAAGGCUUGAAUCCGGGAGAGGGAUGCGGAAUUCCAGGUGUAGCGGUGAAAUGCGUAGAUAUUGGAAAGACCACCAAUGGCGAAGGCACUCUACUGGGCCACAACUGACACUGAGAGACGAAAGCUAGGGGAGCAAAUGGG
rnacentral:rRNA from 1 species